rnacentral:misc_RNA from 1 species
GAUGAAGACGUAGCGAAAUGCGAUAAGUAGUGUGAAUUGAAGAAUUCAGUGAAUCAUCGAAUCUUUGAACGCACAUUGCGCCCUUUGGUAUUCCAAAGGGCAUGCCUGUUCGAGCGUCAUUUGUACCCUCAAGCUUUGCUUGGUGUUGGGCGUCUUGUCUCUAGCUUUGCUGGAGACUCGCCUUAAAGUAAUUGGCAGCCGGCCUACUGGUUUCGGAGCGCAGCACAAGUCGCACUCUCUAUCAGCAAAGGUCUAGCAUCCAUUAAGCCUUUUUUUCAACUUUUGACCUCGGAUCAGGUAGGGAUACCCGCUGAACUUAAGCAUAUCAAUAAGCGGAGGA